GACGAACGCUGGCGGCGUGCUUAACACAUGCCAGUCGAACGGAAAGGCCCUGCUUGCAGGGUACUCGAGUGGCGAACGGGUGAGUAACACGUGGGUGAUCUGCCCUGCACUUCGGGAUAAGCCUGGGAAACUGGGUCUAAUACCGGAUAGGAGCCAUUUUUAGUGUGAUGGUUGGAAAGUUUUUUCGGUGUAGGAUGAGCUCGCGGCCUAUCAGCUUGUUGGUGGGGUAAUGGCCUACCAAGGCGGCGACGGGUAGCCGGCCUGAGAGGGUGGACGGCCACAGUGGGACUGAGAGACGGCCCAGACUCCGACGGGAGGCAGCAGUGGGGAAUAUUGCACAAUGGGCGCAAGCCGGAUGCAGCGACGCCGCGGGGGGGAUGACGGCCUUCGGGUUGUAAACUCCUUUCGCUAGGGACGAAGCUUUUUGUGACGGUACCUAGAUAAGAAGCACCGGCUAACUACGUG
rnacentral:rRNA from 1 species